UGGGGACAGCCGGCCUCCGGCGGGAUCCGGCGGCCUCCGGCCGGGCAGAGCACCUCGCGGCGCUGCAGGCCGUCGCCGCACGACGCCGAACACUGCACGCAGAAAUGGGAAGUAUUCAAGAGCAAACCUGAGAAGUGGAUGGUUUUGUGUUUUCAUACAUUUCCGCAGAAAAACACAAAGAAUGAUAAUCUGCUUGGUUUUUCUAUUCCAUUGACCAAAUGACCAGGAACAAAGUCACGUUUUAUAAGCAAUGACGUCCUCUCAUUUCUCAUCUCAUCUUCAACCGCAUGUCUUGUCGCAGGGAUAUUUCAACAUUUUCCUUUUGCUGCUUAAUACUUUGUUUUCAUGAAUUUGGAGGCAACAUUUAACUGUAACUGUUUUGUGUCUCCUUUCAAGGGAUGAUCCUGAGCAACCUAGUUGUUUUCGUGGGGCUAAUGCAUGGCAUGCUAUGUACUGAUGUCAACUGAUACCUUGUUUUAGGAGGGUCCUUUUGCGGGUGGAAUCACAAUCUUUGAGUUUCUGGUUAUUUGUACAUGACUGAGAACAGCAUCAAAUGUGGUCAUAUGUUUUGCAGGUUAUGGGAGCAACAAGUGAUGAACAUAUGAUCAAAGAUUGAGCUGAGGUUCCUGAGUUUAUACAAUUACAGUAUCUAGAUAUACCGACAUGUCCAUUCGUAUGUGACGCAACAAAACGUAUUUCAUUGUGUAUUAUUUGUCGUUGAACCACUACGCUGCGUGCUUCAUCCUGGCUAACCACGCUUCACUGUGUGGAGCAAUGCUCUGUGCUGCCCUGCAGCUGUUUAGAGCCAGCGCACAUCCUCUUUGACGUGUGUCAGAUGUGGUUCUGUGCUUGGACUCUUUGGCCUGUGGCGUCAGUUCAGAGAAAGAGGAUCGGAAAAAGACAGCGUGAAAAAAAAAAAAACGAGCAAGAGAGAAGAAAAAGUGGAGAGGCUCCAGACUCCAGGUGCACAUUGUGAGUGCGUCUGGCAUGUUUAGUGGGGCAUUCAAGGAAAAACACUAACAUGUGGUUCCCAUUGGGGAGGCACAAGAUGGAGGGUAAAGUGAAGCAAUCUGAAAGGUGAGCAGUGGGAAAUGCAACAGUUAAAGGGAGGAUAAAGGGAGAGGAGUGCACCUCCAUCCUGCUUUCAAACUUCAAAACUGUGAAGUCCCCAGCAUGCACCACCUCAAAACAGCUGCCCGGGGUCUGUGCUGAAAACCACCAUGCGGUGUGUAAAAGCACGCUGCCUUAGUUAGCGGCCUGGCAUGCUGCAUAAAAACAGUCAGGCUUGCUGCAGAUGUCUGCAGCAAGCUGGUAAGUGUUGAAGUGGAAAGAGAGAGCUUACAUGUGUGGUGGCGUGAGAACCAGAGUGGUGGAGGUGUUUUUUGUUAUUGCACAGUCAAAGAGUCCUAACCUCUCCCCAGUUGCCAGUCUUCCACUUGGGACAUCGGCCCCCUUUGCAGCGCUUCUGCCUGCGGGGUUUAGGAGACAGAUGCUGGCAGUUUUCCUCUGGGACGGGGCGGCCUGACCCGCUCGCACAGACCACCUUACGCGACUUGAACCCUCUUCCACAGGAGGCAGAGCACUGCAAGAUGUCAAAGGACAAAAACAAGUGGAAUUGAAAUCAAAAGGUAUGUUUUGUGUUUAAAGAGCAACUGCAAAAAAGGUGCACACGUCAUCGCAGUGAAAUUCAGUUUUUUUGGUGAAAUUGCAUUACUGAGAUAUAGAAGACAAAUAACUGGAAAGAAGUCUGAUUAAAUAAAUCAUAAUCUGCAUGGGUAAAUUAAUAAACACGUGGCUUGUUUUUGACAAAAAACAGUCCCCGCCCCAAAGAAAUUGAUAGGAGCUCGAGUUGCACGUGGUUAACUAGUCCAAUAGCAAAGCGUCCUCAUCAACCCGGCAGAAGUUUGUUUCACUUCCGGGUUUACAGAACUACUGGGAGUUUAACCUGGUGUGACAAGCAGCCCCGCACACACACACACACACACACACACACACACAUACUGUAAUGUUACAAGGGCUGGGCUGUGCUUGGAUGAUCCCAGGGGGCGUUGCAUGUGAGGAUGGAUGGGAAGCAACAGGCUCCGAGUUGAAUGAGUAAGCGGCGCAGUGUGUGCUGCUGUCCUGACCAGCGAGGGACUGUAUGCUGCGACCUCUCACCUCAUUCAGGGGGGAGGAAGGCUCACGAGAGGAGGGGUUAUUAACAUUCUUGUUCCCCAUUGUUAAAUAUGGGCAACCCAAACAUUUCCAAUUCCGUUGGAAGAAAUAAAGUAAGAGUCCAAUCAA